rnacentral:rRNA from 1 species
ACUCAAAUGAAUUGACGGGGGCCCGCACAAGCAGCGGAGCGUGUGGUUUAAUUCGAGGCUACACGAAGAACCUUACCCAGAUUUGACAUGAUGGUGGUAGUGAACUGAAAGGGGAACGACCUUCGGGAGCCAUCACAGGUGCUGCAUGGCUGUCGUCAGCUCGUGUCGUGAGAUGUUCGGUUAAGUCCGGUAACGAGCGCAACCCUCGCCGUUAGUUACAGGUGUCUAGCGGGACUGCCCGGAGGAACUGGGAGGAAGGUGGGGAUGACGUCAAGUCAGCAUGGCCUUGAUGUCUGGGGCGACACACACGCUACAAUGGUCGGUACAAUGGGCAGCCAAGCCGCGAGGCGGAGCUAAUCCGUGAAAAGCCGACCUCAGUUCGGAUUGCAGGCUGCAACUCGCCUGCAUGAAGUCGGAGUUGCUAGUAAACGCGCAUCAGCCAUGGCGCGUUGAAUACGUUCCCGGGCCUUGUACACACCGCCCGU